AUUGAACGCUGGCGGCAUGCCUAACACAUGCAAGUCGAACGGCAGCACGGCAGUAGCAAUACUGUGGGUGGCGAGUGGCGGACGGGUGAGGAAUACGUCGGAAUCUGCCCAGUCGUGGGGGAUAACUAGCCGAAAGGUUAGCUAAUACCCGCAUACGACCGAGAGGUGAAAGCGGGGGACCGCAAGGCCUCGCACGAUUGGAUGAGCCGACGUCGGAUUAGCUAGUUGUGGGUAAGGCCACCAAGGCGACGAUCCGUAGCUGGUCUGAGAGGAUGAUCAGCCACAUUGGAACUGAGACACGGUCCAGACUCCUACGGGAGGCAGCAGUGGGGAAUAUUGGACAAUGGGCGCAAGCCUGAUCCAGCAAUGCCGCGUGUGUGAAGAAGGCC
rnacentral:rRNA from 1 species